CGGUGACUGCCUGUUGGUUGCAUUUGUGUUUUCAGUGGUGUCCAGACAAAUCGUCUGUCUUUGGAAGUUCUGCAGAGGAUGGUCUUUUAAACAUUUGGGAUUAUGAGAAGGUCGGUAAGGAGCGAACUCCAAAAGGCCCAACUUCUCCACCUGGCCUGUUUUUCCAGCAUGCUGGGCACAGGGACAAGGUUGUUGAUUUUCAUUGGAAUGCAUCUGAUCCAUGGACUGUUGUCAGUGUGUCUGAUGACUGUGAUAGUACUGGCGGAGGGGGUACAU